GACAGAGGUGCCGAGCGUUAGGCGGAAUCACUGGGCUUAAAGCGUGUGUAGGCGGACCGUUAAGUACCUUGUGAAAUCCCACGGCUCACCCGUGGAACGGCUGGGUAGACUGGCGGUCUUGGGGCCACCUAGGGGGCAGAUGGAACAGACGGUGGAGCGGAUGAAUGCGUAGAUAUCGUCUGGAACGCCAAAGGUGAAAACAGUCUGCUGGGGGUGUGCCGACGCUGAGACACGAAAGCCAGGGGAGGCGAACGGG
rnacentral:rRNA from 1 species